GACAUUUUUGGAAGCAGACUCAAAUCAGGACGAAAAGAUUGACAAAUCUGAAUGACACAAUUUUGUGGGCCGAAAUCCUUCAUUAUUAAAGAUAAUGACUCUUUCGUAUCUAAGGAGUAUGAAGCUAUGAAGCAUCAAGUUGCUCAGCUAACAAGAACACUUAAUUCCUCGGAGGCUAGGAUGUUGGGUAUGCAAGCCCAAAUUAAUAGUUUAUGAUGGAUAUGUUUAAAUGGAUAUGUAUAUUAUCUUUAAGGUUUAAAUGUAGUUUUAGUUCGAAUUAGAAGUACUUUUAAGUUUAUAAUGUUUAAGUGUUUGAAUGAUGUUUAUGAUGUUUAAGUGUUUGAAUGUAGUUUAUGAUGUUUAAGUGAUUGAAUGUAGUUUUAAUUUUAAGUACUUUGAGGUUGAAUUUGAUUGUUUAUAAGUGUUUGAAUGGACAAUGUUUAAGUGUUCAAGUGUU